CACACACAUAGGGGGGCAGUCUAACACCCGCUCCGCCCUUCAUACUUCUCUGGGCUAGACUGUUGUGAACUGGUCCAGGCAGAUCCAAGGCCGGGGAAGGCAGAGAGGGCCACAGCCUCCCUGUGGUUCCGCAGCACAGAGAAAGCAAAAACAGAGCUUGAAUGUCAGGAGGCUUGUAAUAAUUUGGCCAAUGUGGAAAACAGACAUGUGGAGUAUGCCACUAACUUCCUUUGAGGACCAGAUGGAAGAAACAGAGGUAGCUCUAUAGGAACGAACCCAGUACAUCCUCGGGAGUGGAGCUUUGCACAACAAUCAAUCGCAAAUGGACUUGGCGUGCUUUCAGAGGAACACACCCGACCGUGGCACACACACACACACACACACACACACACACACACACACACAUACACACAGAAGCAUGACUGCAUGCUGCCACGAUCCUCAAGUCGUUACAUGGAGCAGGAGCACGGCACGAAACACAAUAAACCUAAGCUUUUAUGACACCGCUACGAUUUGAUGGCGCAAUGGAUCAUUGCUGUUUCGAGGAGGGAGAGCAGAGAUGCGCAAGAGGGAACGCAAAGCCACUGGUUUGGAAUGGGACAGGAGGGAGGGAGGGAGAGAGGGAUGAGAGUGAUAUUCCCAGGUCUCCUUUAUCAUUCUGCUCUCACGCAUGCCACCCAGAAUCCAGGACCACCUGUCAUGUGCAUAGACUCACUGAACUUCUUCGGGUCAUGAUGAGAUCUGGCUUUUGCAUGGACCCAGCUGUACCGUUUCAGAACCGUAAAGACCGCUGGCUGGGGUUGAAACGUUUGACAGGAACUGUAUCCAGGACCAAAGACCAAAUUUAGGCUAUAAAUGGGCAGACUCCAUUCAAAAUUUGAAUUCAAUAAAAAAAAAAUCAAUUCAAGUCAAAACCAGUGAACCAACCAUUCAAUACAAAAGAGACAAAAGAGAUUUUAUCUUUACUAGUUGUGAAAUAUAAAUCGGUUGAUGGGCUGUUUCUUAUUGAUGAUAACCUACCAUGAAGAAAUAUAGUCAGCAGCACAUUGGAACAAUACAGUACACCUUCUUUUUACCCAUCUGGCAUUUCAUCUAUGCAUACACCUGUGGUGGGGUAGACAUUUGAAGCCCACCCUGAAAUACUGAGGAAACAUCUGCCAAGAAACUGGAUAUGCCACAGAGUUCAAACCCCAUAUCCAAACAGCCCUUCAUCUUCCAGAGCUCCUCACUACCCGCCUCAGCCCUCCCUGUUCCUCAGUGUGUGACCAGUGAGCCGAGCCUUUUUCCCCAUCUGCUGGGAGAAAUUAGGACAAAAAAAGAAGGCAAAGGAGAGGUUUGUACAUCAACAGAGAGAGGCCCACAUUAUGAGGAGAUCCUUCUGUAGGAUGUCGGUGAUAAUGUGUGUGUGUGUGUCUCUUUCUGUGUACCGGUAUAUAUAUAUGUGUGUCUUUGUGUGUGUGUGUGUGUAUGUGUGUAUGUGUGUCAGUAAGUAUGUCAAAGACCCACCUACUUUCAUCCUGGCCCUUCCUUUCCUUGGAAAUAUUACAGUGUCUUUGGUCUUAAGGCUGAGGUGAGGUUGU